GGGAGGAUUUUACAGAGACUCCUUCUUCAUGCUUCAGAGACAGGUUAAAUUUCCUCGCAUUUUCUUAUUUGUUAUUUUUGUCAGCUUGUAACCAAGAAAAUAUCAAAGUCAACUCAAUGAAAUGACACAAUGCAGUGCAAUAUUUUAGAUUAGGCUUCCGGCCGAGAGACUUUGCCGGUUUUCUUGCCGCCGAAAUUCUACAGUGUCAGUGAGAGAAAGCAGAAGAAGACAGCUUUCACGUUUUUGGGAUCUUCCUCUUCAAAAGCUUCCCUUUCUCUGUUUUAUCUUGUUGUUAGUC